ensembl:lncRNA
ACUCCACAUCACAUUUUUAGGAUCUGGCCUUGCUGGUGGUUGCACGUGUGUUUGUUGCUUCUCAGUAAUGCUGAGUAUUCUAUAGCGCACAUUCCCCUAGAAUCAGAUAGCUAAGGUUACCCUCGGCUUCUCCCGUGAAAUUAGCACCACAAUCAAGCGCACACUGUCACCAUAACCGUCCUUGUAAUGUGUCUAUUUAUGGAAUUCCAUAAUCCACCUACAGUGCAUGUAAGUUCUAAUUUCCAGAUGUCCUUGCCAACACUUGCUGUUAUUCACCUUUCUAGCUUUUGCCAUCUUGAUAGGUAUAAAGUAUUAAAAUGAGUUGACCAUUUUUCUGAGUUUCUGAUUUCUUGUCGAUUUGCAUUUUUGGUAUAAUCUAACUAUGGGUCAUUGGCUAUUAUUUUGGACACUCAAAUAUCUUCUUCAAAUCUGUUGCCCAUUAGCUAACUGUAGUGACCUUGAUGUUAAGAGAUCUUGACUUUUGCUAUAGUGAAACAAAUACAUAUUCUGGCCUCACUUAACGUUCUGGGAGUAUCUUGUUUAAUAAGUCUUUCUCUAACCCUCAUGCACAGAUAUCAUUUCACAUGUUCUUUUAUUAGCUUCAUAGUUUUAUUCUUCACUUUUAGGUCUUUGUUUCACCCCGUAAUACUUUGUACCAUUUCCUAGAGUUUGUCUUGAAUUUAUUUCCAAUUGUGUCCUCAACCAGGUGUAAAGUCUUGGAAGGAGAACUAUGUUACAUUCCCCAUCCAAGCCUCAGAUUUGCCGAGCCUUAACCUGACUGACCUACUUGCCUGUGCUCAUGUUGGUGGCAUUCCUUCCCUCCAUUCUCAGUGAAAGAGGUAUCACUCUUCCUGUCUCAGGUCAACCUUUUGUGCAUCUGAGUGUCUCCUUCCAUUCCAUCCUCCUCAGUGACUUCUCCUCUGUCUUGUAAGCUCUCUCGCUGUCAGCACAUAAACAUGCUUAAGUGUCAACCCCCCCUUCUCGUGGAUAUUCCUCUGGCUCCUUGUCUCUUGACCCCAUUCACUUGUCAUUCCUUUCACUGCAGCUGGCUUUGCCUCUGCCCGUUGAUGGCACUGACCCAUCCUCAUAGAAGCCUCAGUCAUUUCCACUUGCCAGGUUCAGCAGUCUCCUGCACUCAUCAGGCCCACCCUGAAGGGCAUGUGAAAUGUUAUGACCACCCUUCUUGAUUUUUGAUUUUUAAAAUGUUUUUGGUUUUGUGAUAUUCCCCUCUCCUCAUCUUCAUUUUGUCUCUCUAACAAUUCCCAGAUCAUUUUCAGUGAUUCCUUAGCCUCCACAGCAUCCAAGAUUAUGUCCACACCGAUGGCUUUCACCACUUUUGCGUGACGAUGAUACUGUACUAUGUCUCCAUCCCAGGUCUUGCCCUUAGCUUCAGACCCAUAUUUUCCACAGCCAACAAGAUGGCCAGUUGUCUUAGGGACACAUAACAUUAAAAGUGUGCUAAACCUAGGCCGGGCGCGGUGAUUCACACCUGUAAUCCCAGCACUUUGGGAGGCCGAGGUGGGCAGACCAUGAAGUCAAGAGAUCGAGACCAUCUUGGCCAACAGGGUGAAACCCUGUCUCUCCUGAAAAUACAAAAAUUAGCUGGGCGUGGUGGCACGUGCCUGUAGUCCCAGCUACUCAGGAGGCUGAGGCAGGAGAAGCACUUGAACCUGGGAGGCGGAGUUUGCAGUGAGCCGAGAUCACAUCACUGCACUCCUCCAGCCUGAGAACAGAGCAAGACUGUCUAAAAAAAAAAAAAAAAA